CGACAAUUCUCACCUGGUGUGAAAAGUCAGGGGCGGAGAAGCCGCAGCAGCCGGAUUAUUACGCUGUUGAGUCUGUUGUUCGUGCUUCGAUGGCUUCGACUUCUUCUUCUUCGAUCUCUAGAGAGGAUUCUAGAAUACGGAGAGAAGAUUCUAGAAUACGGGUGUCAGAGAGGGAUUUGUUCAAGGGGGUAACGGAGAAUCCACCUAUGCUUCUCUCUCACGCCGCAUCGGAAAUGAAAUCGAGGAAUAAUCAUUUCUACUCUUCUUCGA
rnacentral:lncRNA from 1 species